rnacentral:antisense_RNA from 1 species
CCAGUUAUGAAAGAAAAUGAGAUUUGUUUGAAAGUUUCACUAUUCAAAUCUGCAGAGAUACCAGUCUUGGAGGUAGUAUAACUGAGAGCCAAACUAAUAAGAUCACUCAUAGCCAAGAAUGAACCAAAGUAAGCUUCAUCACUGGAGAAGAAAUGAGCCGAAAGGAAAGUAUGCUUGAAAUCCAAUAACUGAUCAUCAGAUUGAACCGAAGUAAGUAAAAUCUUAUUAAUAGGAGAACCAAAUUCAAGAUGAGUGUUUUUGAAUUCAUUUUCAAUAUAAUGAGAAUCCAUAAUAUCUGAGAACGGUAAAUUCAAUAUGUAGAAUUCUGCGAGGGAGUUUGCAGAAGCUCCAAUAGAAGGAGCAGAAAUGUAAGGGCUCAUGGGACCAAAUAUUGAUGUAAUCAAGAAAACUAGCUUUUCAAAAUCAUUCGAGAAGUUCAUUGCCAAGUUAGUUAAUCUUGGAAUUGCAAUGGUUGGCAUUCUUCUAGGUGAAGAGGCAAAGUAUUCAGCUGUGAUCCUCUCCAAAUAAUCCAAGAAGUUGACUCUAGCGUUUGCUUGAGAGUGAUUUCCCAAAUCAUUUGAAUUGGUACUCCCCAAAAGUUCCAAGUUGGGAGUGAAGGAAAAGAUUGUGGGAAUUUCUAAUAAAGGCAAAGUUGUUUUCUUCUUAUAGAAUCCUGCAAUCAUCCGCAAAUCCUGAUAUGCUUCUUCUAAGUUAGUAGCAGGACGAUCCAAAGCCAGGAACACGCUGUUCUCAUCCGCUAUAAAGUACUUUACAAUAAUGUUCAAGGAACUCAAAGCCAUAGGGAAAGGAUGUGAAGACGUGAAUCCUACCAAAGAAGUUGCAAGUAUAUUACUGUCUUGUGAGAAGCCAAAAGUGACAAAGGCUGGUAAAAGAUUCCUCACGCUUAGGAGAUCCCUAGCAAGUAAGGGAUCACUACAAUGGAAAGGCAUUCUUGGUAAGACUGAGGAAAGCCAGAUUCUGAAAGCUUGCAUUCUGUUAAUAUUCUGAGUAGAGCAGGAUAACUCUGGGUCAAAUCCAGGAGGAGGUGGCUCUAAGAUGCCAGUUUCUGGGUUAAUAUUCCCAAGCACCAAAGCUGGGAUAAAAACACCAGAAAGACCCUUUUCAGCAAGCUCUUCAUCAAAGGUAAUUUCUCCAUUUUCUCCAAUAUGUACGCCUAAGUUAGACAUAUUGUGUGUAUCAGAAAUGUUUAUUGACGGGGCGAUCAUUCUUUUGCUCAAAAUCAUCAUUGCUGAACUGAGCAAUGUUGAGGAAAGCGUACCAAGUUCCAAAAGCAAAUUGUGAAUAUCGUUCCUAAUCUUCUCAACUACGAAUAAAGCCGUGUCUUCCUUGUUAACUUGUGCGUUAAGCUCAUCCAAGAGAGCACUAUGUUCCAAGCUAAGUCUCUCAAUCUCUGAUAAGAUCUGAGCAGCUCUUUGUGAUCGCUGAGCCUGAUCACCAUCUUGAUCCUGCCCUGGACCUUCGGAUGGCAAGCCUGGAGAUGUACCUGAAGGGAGAGAUCUGAGCCUCCUAAAUUGGUAAUUUGUAGGGAGAUGGUCUACCCAAGGUACCAAAAAGAUAUGAGAAUUGUGACUAAGCCUUGUAUUAUGUUGAAUGUAGAGUUUGAAAUCUUCGAUACUGAGCAAAUAAUCGAAGAAGAUGGAAUCAUCGUUCAAAUUCUGACUGUUAGCCCAUUUUAAUACUUUGAUGAAUAAAUCUUGGCUUUGUGGCUGGGUUUGAAAUAGUCUUGUUAAGUAUGCUAAGGUCAAAUCAGCAAAGUGAAUCACGCUUUGAUUCUCUAUAUCUGAACUUGAAUAAUCAUCCCUGUCUUUAACAAAGGUCCAAACACAACUUGGUAUAAAGAUCUUUCCAUUCACUAAGUCUAUUUCAGUAGCAAACCCACCUUCCAAAUCUGGAUUUCUUGUGUAGAGAAAAUAUUUCUCAAAGAUUAAAUAAGCCAUUAAGGCGAAAGUUAAAUCUUCAGCUAAACUAUCUGACAGAUUUAGGCUUUGAUUACCUUGAAUGAUUUGCUUAAUUAUAUCUUCAGAUAAAUUUGCUUCAUUUGGAAGAGCUUCAACCAAGGUUCUAAGCUCCUCAUAGUUAAACUUUGGAAUCUUUCUAAGCUUAUAGAUGAAAUACUGCUGCAUCCAAUUAUAGAUUAGUCUAGACCUGUUUUCCCUAGCAGUUGUUUCCUUUACAGAAUUUGCUGAGUAAUUCAAAAAUAAACUCUCUCCAUUGGCAAGAUUUCUUAGAUAUAUUGUUGGAUCAAUCAAAAGCUCCCAACCAUCCAAAGUUAAUGCUGCAAAGGUCAUUUCCAUUGAGUAAACGCUUCCUAGUGCUCCCUGUCCAUCAGAGUCCAAAUCCAGAACUUGAGGUAAUAUAAAACUUUCAUAAUUCGACCAUUCUUGAGCUAGAAUUUCUAUCAAAGAAUCAGUAAAGUGUUCAGGAUUUAAAUUACUUCUCAUUUCAUUAACAUAUGAAACUUUGUUAUUGUCCACACAUCCUUGUAAAAUCCUAUUUGCUUCCUCAGUUGUAAUGAAACUGAUAUUAUUGUUUGAAUAAGCCUUGAUCCUACUGUUGAUGAAUCCUUGGAAGAGAUAAACUCUUUGAAGCCUUUCUUGAGUUACCAAUUGAGGAAAUAUCUCGGUCAUUACACCUUCAUUUGCAGCUUCUAAAUAUUGAUUCAUGAUAUCUAACACAUUAACUGCAGCUUCAAUUAAGUACUUCCCCUCUACAUAACUUGCUAAAGGAUACUCGUAAAGAGCUUCAAAAUAAUUAUCAAUACUAAUUGGGCUGAAGCUUGAGUUAUGUUCAUUAAACAACUUCUUCUCAUAGCCACAAAAUGCUUUUGGUAAAGCUUUGUACUGUUCUUGAGUUAAUCCUAAUCCUUGAAUAACUAAAGAAACAUCCGAAUUCUCAUCCAAUCUACCUCCCAAUGCAUUAUAAAGUCUUACUGGGGAGAUAUGAACAAAAUUACCAUGUUUAACAAGAAUUUCUUCCAUAAAGGCUGAAGCAAAAAUAAACCUGUUUUGAAUCCAACCUGGCAUUGAAUUAAAUGCAUAAAAGAAAUCAGGUUUUAAAUGGUCAGCUGGAGGAAUUCCUUGAGCUGGAGAACUUGGAAUAAUAGAAUCCAAAAAGCUUGGCUUAGGGAAUUCUGGAAUCAUAUAGAACUUUUCCAUUCUCGUCUUGGUAGAGCCUUCCAAAGAUGCUAGUUUUCGCUUCUCAUGAGCUAAAAAAUGAGAAAAUAGCUUAUCAAUCUUCACUGGAAGACCGUUUUGGCGUUUCUGCAAUGUAGUAUUAAUAGCCAAAGGCCACUUUGUUCCAGGGUGUCUUUUCUUGUAUUUAAAAGCUCCACAAAGCUCUUCAAGAGUAAUGAUAUCACUUGAUGAACCAGUCUUGAUGAGUUUUUUGUUCAUAACCUCCAACAUUGAACAAAUCCUAUUCAUUUCCCAAGCCUUGAUUCCAUUACAAUCAUUAAAUCUGACAGAGAUUACACGACCUAAAUAAUCCAAAAUCCCUAUCUCUUUCCAAAUACGAACUGUAUCAGACAUGGGACCUCCAACUAAGGCAGUCUGACGCAUUUCUAUAACAGUUCUUUCUGGACCAAAGAUAUCCAUAAUCUGUGUUCUAUCCAUUGUUUUACCAGAAGAAGCUUUGCAACCCAAUAUAUCUCUAGCCAUAUUUGCUAUCUCCGUCAACUGAUCCGUAGUCAAAGGAUUUGUAUAGGUUGCACCAAUAACAGCAGCAAUAACCUCCGUACACUGUUCCUGGCUUCUUUCCUCUUCAAUAAAGUUAAGCAUUAUAUAUACCAUUGACAUGACUUCAUCCCUAGCUAUUACAAUUCCUAACCUCUUUUCAAUCUCGUGCAUCAAUUUCUCUGCAAUUCUUCUAUAGAAAGGUAGAAUCCUGGAUUCAAAUGAAUUAUCCUUAGGAAAAGCUUCCAAAUGGAAGUAAUCUGAAAUCUCAAUUGCAGACAUUUGCUUCGAUUUAGUAUCAGCUCUGUGCUUUGGAAGCUGAAGGAAGUAAUCUAAGAUAUACAUAACUUCAUUAAUAAUUCCAGAAUCAUCUGAAAUUCUUCCCAACAAAAUAUCAUUCUGUAAUACAGCUGCAAUAAUAUUCAAAAAUUGUGUUCUUGUCCUCAUUCCUGAGUAUAAAUGCAAAAGCAUCCUUAACAUUAAGCAAGUCUCCUGUAUUGUUACAUAAUGUCCAAGUACUUCUCUUAAUUUCACUGCAAAAGUUAAAGAAAGACCUACAAAAUCCGCAGGGUGAAUCUUGAUUUCUUUAUUUUCAAAAGCCUUCUUGGCUGAAUCAAAGAGAGCAGAACACUCGUUACUCUUUCUGUAUGGUUUAGUUGCUAUUUUUGGGAAAUAAUCGCCAUACUGAGGAUUCAAGUGUUUGUAAGUCUUUCUAUUACUUGGGUCUUGCCAAAUUGAAUCUGUUCCUGGCAAAUAUGAUUUAUACUCACUCAUUGAUAACUUUGACUUGUCAAUUUUUCUCCUUUCUCUCUUUGUGAAUUUUUCAUCUGUAUUGGUGCUCUUGUGAUUCAAAGAAUUAUUUCCAAUACCAAUAGCUUGAUCUGUCUGAGUUGACUUUUUAGAUUUUCCACUAGGCAUAGAACUUUCCUCUUUACUGUCUGAAGAAGUGGAACCACUUGAAGAUUUUCUUGGCUUACUACCACUACCUGACCUGCUUCUUUUCUUCUUUGAGACCUUUUCUUCUUCCCUUUCGUUAGACUUCGAUCUUUCUUCAGCCCUUUUCUUUGAUUUUGUUGAUUUCUUUUUCUUCCUUCCAUGAGUAACUUUUUUUGAGCCUGCAUCAGAUUCAGACAACUCAUCAUAUCUCAUUCCAGGAAUCGGAUAUCUAGGCAAUUUACCAGUAUCCGGAUGUUUUUUCCUUCUCUCUGCAUCCAAUUUACCCAUACUGUGAGAAGGUGAAGAUUCUGAAGCUUCUACAACGAAGCCAACUCCACAAAUUCCUUCAUUUUUAAAUAAACCUAUAUUCGCAUCAAAAAAUAUUAUAUUCAAUAAAAAAACUGCCAAAAAUCCCACCUUCCUGCUUCUUAGAGCAUUAAAAGGCGUCCACAUUUUUUCUUCCUGUAUUGCCACAAAUUCUGCAUGCAUGCAUGCAAUUCACCUGAGUGGCAACAAAAUUACCUUAAAUUAUUAUUAUUACCAGUUUAAAUCCUAUUUUCAAUUUAUCUUACUAUUCCC